GACGAACGCUGGCGGCAGGCCCAACACAUGCAAGUCGAACGAACCCUUCGGGGUUAGUGGCGGACGGGUGAGUAACACGUGGGAACGUGCCUUUAGGUUCGGAAUAACUCAGGGAAACUUGUGCUAAUACCGAAUGUGCCCUUCGGGGGAAAGGUUUAUCGCCUUUAGAGCGGCCCGCGUCUGAUUAGCUAGUUGGUGAGGUAAUGGCUCACCAAGGCUACGAUCAGUAGCUGGUCUGAGAGGAUGACCAGCCACAUUGGGACUGAGACACGGCCCAAACUCCUACGGGAGGCAGCAGUGGGGAAUCUUGCGCAAUGGGCGAAAGCCUGACGCAGCCAUGCCGCGUGGAUGAUGAAGGUCUUAGGAUUGUAAAAUCCUUUCACCGGUGAAGAUAAUGACUGUAGCCGGAGAAGAAGCCCCGGCUAACUUCGUGCCAGCCGCCGCAGUAAAAC
rnacentral:rRNA from 1 species